GAUGAACGCUGGCGGUAUGCUUAACACAUGCCAGUCGAACGGACUCUUCGGAGUUAGUGGCGGACGGGUGAGUAACGCGUGAGAAUCUGGCUUUGGGUUCGGGACAACCACUGGAAACGGUGGCUAAUACCGGAUGUGCCGAGAGGUAAAAGAGAAAUUGCCUGAAGAUGAGCUCGCGUCUGAUUAGCUAGUUGGUGAGGUAAAGGCUCACCAAGGCAGCGAUCAGUAGCUGGUCUGAGAGGAUGACCAGCCACACUGGGACUGAGACACGGCCCAGACUCCUACGGGAGGCAGCAGUGGGGAAUUUUCCGCAAUGGGCGAAAGCCUGACGGAGCAGUACCGCGUGGGGGAAGAAGGCUCUUGGGUUGUAAACCUCUUUUCUUAGGGAAGAACAAAAUGACGGUACCUAAGGAAUCAGCAUCGGCUAACUCCGUG
rnacentral:rRNA from 1 species